rnacentral:rRNA from 1 species
GAUGAACGCUGGCGGCGUGCUUAACACAUGCAAGUCGAACGGAAAGGCCCAAGCUUGCUUGGGUGCUCGAGUGGCGAACGGGUGAGUAACACGUGGGUGAUCUGCCCUGCACUUUGGGAUAAGCCUGGGAAACUGGGUCUAAUACCGGAUAGGACCAUCGUUUAGUGUCGGUGGUGGAAAGUUUUUCGGUGUGGGAUGAGCUCGCGGCCUAUCAGCUUGUUGGUGGGGUAAUGGCCUACCAAGGCGUCGACGGGUAGCCGGCCUGAGAGGGUGUACGGCCACAUUGGGACUGAGGUACGGCCCAGACUCCUACGGGAGGCAGCAGUGGGGAAUAUUGCACAAUGGGCGCAAGCCGGAUGCAGCGACGCCGCGUGGGGGAUGACGGCCUUCGGGUUGUAAACUCCUUUCGCCAAGGACGAAGCGUUUUGUGACGGUACCUGGAGAAGAAGCACCGGCUAACUACGUG